CAAUUAUGAAGAAUUAAGGGGUUCGGUCGCCCGCGAAAGAAAACAGACUGUAACAAGCAAGGGGCCGAAGCUGUUAGCUCCAAUGGCGGCCUCUAUGGCGGCAUCACGAUUAUCCCAUUUCUCCUAUCAUGCUAGACAGCAAUCUUCGCCGUCCGAUAUCCCUCCGUUAACCACCUUCAAACCGUCCAAUUCUCAUCCAAAACGCUUCCGGAGCCUUUCCACCCGGGCUUUACUUCAGGGGGAAAACGAACUGAACAAGAACCCCAAAGCUCUUGAUUUGCGAAGCGCCGAUGACUUCCCAGGUGACGUCGUCUCCAAAGACAUGCUCGCCCUGCCGCGGCCAUUGUCUUCCGCUCAGUUUUCUGGUUCAGUUUCUGAUAGAUCUCGCCUUCGUGUGGGAUACCAGGGAGUUCGUGGCGCUUACAGCGAGUCAGCCGCACAGAAAGCCUACCCAAAUUGUGAAGCAGUGCCUUGUGAUGAAUUUGACACCGCUUUUGAAGCUGUUGAAAGGUGGCUUGUGGACAGAGCAGUUUUACCAAUUGAGAAUUCUUUAGGAGGGAGCAUUCACAGAAAUUAUGACCUAUUACUCCGUCACAGGUUGCAUAUAGUGGGAGAAGUAAAAUAUGCAGUCCGCCAUUGUCUGUUGACCAAUCAUGGUGUUAAAAUUGAGGAUUUGAAGCGGGUACUUAGCCAUCCACAGGCUCUUGCUCAGUGUGAGGAUACAUUGACUAGUUUGGGAUUGGUCAGAGAAGCAGUAGAUGACACAGCUGGUGCUGCAAAGCAUGUUGCUUUCCACAAACUACGAGAUGCAGGAGCAGUUGCUAGUUCUGCCGCUGCUGAGAUCUAUGACUUGAAUAUACUUGCUCAAGAUAUUCAGGAUGAUAGUGAUAAUAUCACACGUUUUUUAAUGUUAGCACGAGAACCUAUUAUUCCAGGCACAGAUAGGCAAUUUAAGACAAGCAUAGUUUUUUCUUUAGAGGAGGGUCCUGGGGUACUUUUCAAGGCACUUGCUGUUUUUGCGCUGCGACAAAUCAACCUCACAAAGAUAGAAAGUCGGCCAUUGAGGAACCAACCUUUACGAGCAUCAUCUGACGAUAACUAUAGUGGGCCCAAGUACUUCGAUUAUCUUUUCUAUGUGGAUUUCGAAGCAUCAAUGGCUGAUCAGAAUGCACAAAAUGCCCUUAGGCAUCUAAAGGAGUUCGCUACAUUCCUGCGAGUGCUUGGGAGUUAUCCUGUGGACACAAGUACGGCAUAAGUUGUCUCUUGAAGAGGUCAGCUGCAAUUUAUGAAUAUUUGGACACCUCGAAUUUUCAUAUGCUGCGGUAUUUAAUACUCGCUACGUUUUAUUUCCCUGAGAUCGUUGUUAUUUCGUCACUACCCGUCUCCCUCUAAGAAAAAACAUGUUUCACGAUACUCAUAUACAGUUGUCAUUAUACUUGCGGUCGUGUGCGGCAUGGUUCUUUCAAUUGUCGAUUCAAUUUCCUGGAUAUAUAGGGCUUACAUCUUUACAUUCUUGAAUAGAGGAUUGAAGUAGAAAUUUAGGUUGGUUGCAUACAAGUUUCGUAAUGUAUUGAUGGGGUCUUACUUGGAACAGUUGCUUUUUACUUGCAAAAAUUUCAUGCUUUAGAUGUU